UUUGUCCUUUGUCUCCUUUGGCACAUUAUGUUUGAAUGAAAUUUGGGGUGGAAACUGGAAAAAGAGGACUCUGGCUCUGGCUGUGUGAGGAUAACACGGAAUUAAAUCCUAUUAGCUUCUUGAAUUAAUUUUAAAAGAAAGUGAGAGGAAGGGAGACUUUUACACAUCUUUAGAGAAGAGCAGCAGCGGGCUAAAUCUCACAGAACAUAUCUCAGAGAUGCUAAUGUAAGGUCUUCAAGGAAGGCAGGUUUACUGAGAGCUUCCCUGAGUCACCAAGGAAACCACAUUCUCCUUUCAUCUUUCUCCUCUCCCAAUCCUCCUCAAAAGAGGCGAGUAGUUCCAAGAGAUACUGGAGUACUGGAAAGAGGAAAUACGAAGACUUUGUUACUUUUCAUGCUUUAAAGUUCUGCCUGGAGCAAAGAGCUGAGUUUGAGACUUGGGAGGAAUGAGUUAUGGGCCACCACCGGCGCCCAAGAAACAAAUCACCUGGCUCGGCUUUCCCCACACAGGGCCAUGGAACUGAAAAACCCCACUGUUUUGUCUGGCUCUCAUCUUGAACAGUAAAUAGUCUGGAAAAGACCUAGGUCCCAAGUUACCUGAUGACCCAGGAUUCCCCAACAGGUCAAGGUGAGAAGCUGGGAACUACCAGAAAACCCUCAAUUCUAAGAGUAAGGGUGGACCAUCUUAUGGAGCCGUCAAUUUAUCUGAUGGUAAGCACUUGAAAAUAUUAAUGCAUACCUUAAUUUUCUGUAAAUGUACACACCUAAUGUAUGUACCUAAAAUAUUAUGCAUAUAUUUAUUUUGUAUUAAAUGUAAAAUUCACAUAAACCUUUAUAGAGAGAUGGAACAAUGCAACAAAUUUUGAACGUAUCCCUUUAGAAGUCUCACAGCUGGCAGGUGCAUCCCUUCCUCCAGAAGUCAAGUUUGAGAAGCAUCUUAGUGGGCCAUAGCCCAUCCCCUAGAAACACAGAGCCAGGAAGGAGUUGGGGCCUAAAGAAGAAAAUUAAUGCUAAUAUUGCAGAGGCCUGGGUGGGGAGUAGCUGAGCAGCACAGGAAGCUGCUCAGAGGAAAACAGGGUCCAGGAUUGGAGUCCAGAUGUUCCAAGAAUUAUCCCGAUGAGGUACAGGAGCCAUAACAAGAUAAAUAGCAAGAGCCAGGACCUUUCUUGUAGUAGAUCAAGAGAGAUCUUGAGAGAGCUUCCUCUCUCUCUUAGUUUGAGCUCCCCCUCCCCCACUGCCCCAAGCACACCCUGAGAUAAGAAUUCAAACGCAAGCAGUUUACUUAGUAGUUUACUUAGUAGGGGAUCCUAGGAAACACCAAUUGGGAGUGGAGAAGUGAGAUGGAGUAAGAGAGGCCAUCCAUUAGGGAUGCAUAGUCAAGCAAGCUACCACAGUGAACAACUGGAGCUUAAUGUCUCUGGGGAAUUCCGGAAGAUACCAUAGAACACAUGAUUCCACAGCAUCUCACUUGACGUGCAAGGGCACUGGGGUACUUUACACGCCAACUUCCAACAAUCACUGGUUGGAGGCUGUUGGGGGUGAAGAGUGGUCAUGAAUUCCCUGCAUUUGGGCCUGCUUGAGUGGAGCUCACUCCAGAAGACCAAAAAAAGCCCUCAGGCAAAGAGAGGCCAGGGCUGGCAGUUUGAGAUGAACAUGCACCCUUUUCAGGGUAAGGGUGAGGGGGUAUGGGCAAGGUGGACACAGCAACUGCUGUAGCCUCUGCAUGGAGGGCUCUGGUCCUCCUAAUGAUUGAGCAUCAUACACGGUGGUUGAUCUUUAGAUAAAAUGAUGUAUCAUCACCACCAAAAGCUUUUGUAUCAGGCAAUGUAGAUGCUUUCUAUUUGGUUCUCCCAACAAACCUAUGGGAAGAUGCUGUGAUUACAGACAAGCUAAUUGGCCAUUACAGUUGAGUAGCUUCUGCAGAGUCCUGCCACGGGUAAAGCUGGGAUCUCAACCUCAACUCUGUGGUUAUAACCUCUGCAUAUGUGGCCAAUAUAGAAUGCCUGCCCAGUCACACCCUCUUUUGCUCAUUACUGCCCUACCCAUGGCCCUGCCAGGAGGCACAGUUAGGUUUUUGUAACAUGUGCCUGAGCUUUCCCACCUUACCUGUCACUUGAGGUCCCUCAUACAGUUGUAGCCAGCCUAUAGCUGAAGCUGAGUUCAUCUGAAAUCUUCUCCACUCACCCGCAUGGUGCCUGGUCUGAGAUGUCUGAAAACACUUGAGACUGGCUGGGCAUCUCUCAUUCUCUCUCUCUAUGGCCUCUUCAUAUAGCUAGCUUGGGCUUCCUCACAGCAUGGUGAUCUUGGAGAAGUUGGAAUUCUUCCAUGGCUGCUGGUUUCUCCCAGAGUGAGUGUGCCAAAGCAUUGCUUUCACUGUAUUCUAUUUCUCAAAAGUCACCAGCCUGCUCAGACUCAAAGGAUAGAAUACCUUCCAUCUCUCCAUGAGGGAAUGUAUGCAUACAGGGAAAGAGCAAAUUGAGGGAGGGUAGCCAUCUUGGAGACAAACCAUCCCAUAGCCACUGGCUUUUUACUUCAAGCACUGGCAACUCUAUUUGAGACAUUAUCUGCCUAUGGCAGAUGGCAUUCCAGAGAGUUCACACUCCCAGGAGCAGUUCUUAACUGCAACUCAAAGGGAGUCUAAAUGUUCCAACUUCCUCACACUUGACUGAGCUAAAUCAGAGGUAGAAUCUGCAUAGUCCCCAGAGUGAUUGAGCCACAAUCACCCAGAGUAGACACCUGCUUCUUGCCAUACCCACAGUGGUUGCCUUACCCUCUCCAACUCAAUUCUCCACUGUUCUACCUGCACCUCCUGAGAUCUCCUCUCCAAAAAAAACAACUUCAGCAAAAAGACUAUUAGAACUAGUACACAAAUCCAAUAAAGUUGCAGGAUACAAAACUAA